GAGUUGUGGGUAGGGGUGAAAGGCCAAUCAAACUCCGUGAUAGCUGGUUCUCCCCGAAAUGCAUUUAGGUGCAGCGUCGCAUGUUUCACCUCGGAGGUAGAGCUACUGGAUGGCCGAUGGGCCCUACAAGGUUACUGACGUCAGCCAAACUCCGAAUGCCGAGGUGUGAGAGUGCGGCAGUGAGACUGCGGGGGAUAAGCUUCGUAGUCGAGAGGGAAACAGCCCAGAUCGCCGGCUAAGGCCCCUAAGCGUGUACUAAGUGGAAAAGGAUGUGGGAUCGCUGAGACAGCCAGGAGGUUGGCUUAGAAGCAGCCACCCUUGAAAGAGUGCGUAAUAGCUCACUGGUCAAGUGGUCCUGCGCCGACAAUUUAGCGGGGCUCAAGUACACCGCCGAAGCCGCGGCACUCACACAAUAACCUCCUCCGGGCAGGUGUGUGGGUGGGUAGGGGAGCGUCGUGUGGCCCUAGAAGCGCCGGAGUGAUCCAGGCGUGGAGGCCACACGAGUGAGAAUGCAGGCAUGAGUAGCGAAAGACGAGUGAGAAACUCGUCCGCCGGAUGACCAAGGUUUCCUGGGUCAAGCUAAUCUGCCCAGGGUGAGUCGGGACCUAAGGCGAGGCCGACAGGCGUAGUCGAUGGACAACGGGUUGAUAUUCCCGUACCCGUGUGUGCGCGCCCAUGGUGAAUCAGUGAUACUAACCGCCCUGAAGCUGCUGGAUGUCCUUCGGGACACGUGUGGUGGAUGCGCGGGACCUGAUCUGGUAGUAGCCAAGCGAUGGGGUGACGCAGGAAGGUAGCUGGGCCAGUCAGUGGUUGUACUGGUGUAAGAGUGUAGGCCGACCGGUAGGCAAAUCCGCCGGUCAUUAAGGCUGAGACUUGAUGCAUACCCGUUGUGGGGAAUUCAGUGAUCCUAUGCUGCCGAGAAAAGCCUCUAGCGAGCUCAUACACGGCCCGUACCCCAAACCGACACAGGUGGUCAGGUAGAGAAUACCAAGGCGAUCGAGAGAACUGUGGUUAAGGAACUCGGCAAAAUACCCCCGUAACUUCGGGAGAAGGGGGACCAUGCUCGGUGAUGGAGUUUUCCUCCGGAGCUGGGUGUGGUCGCAGAGACCAGAGAGAAGCGACUGUUUACUAAAAACACAGGUCCGUGCGAAGACGUAAGUCGAUGUAUACGGACUGACGCCUGCCCGGUGCUGGAAGGUUAAGAGGACCGGUUAGCCGCAAGGCGAAGCUGAGAAUUUAAGCCCCAGUAAACGGCGGUGGUAACUAUAACCAUCCUAAGGUAGCGAAAUUCCUUGUCGGGUAAGUUCCGA
rnacentral:rRNA from 1 species